AUUGAACGCUGGCGGCGUGCCUUACACAUGCAAGUCGAACGCGAAAGCCCCUUCGGGGGUGAGUAAAGUGGCGCACGGGUGAGUAACGCGUGGAUAAUCUACCAAGAAGUUUGGAAUAACGGCUGGAAACGGUCGCUAAUACCGAAUACGCAGCACAAUUAUUUUUUGUGUUGGAAAGGAGGCCUCUGUAUAUGCUUUCGCUUCUUGAUGAGUCCGCGUACCAUUAGCUAGUUGGUGGGGUAAUGGCCCACCAAGGCGACGAUGGUUAACUGGUCUGAGAGGAUGAUCAGUUACACUGGGACUGGAACACGGCCCAGACUCCUACGGGAGGCAGCAGUGGGGAAUAUUGCACAAUGGACGAAAGUCUGAUGCAGCGACGCCGCGUGAGGGAUGAAGGUCUUCGGAUCGUAAACCUCUGCCAAUGGGGAAGAAAAGCUACUGUGCUAAUCAGCAGUAGUCUGACGGUACCCAUAAAGGAAGGACCGGCUAACUCCGUGCCAGCAGCCGCGGUAAUAC
rnacentral:rRNA from 1 species